rnacentral:rRNA from 1 species
UACGGAGGGGGCUAGCGUUGUUCGGAAUUACUGGGCGUAAAGCGCACGUAGGCGGCCUGUUCAGUCGGGGGUGAAAUCCUGGGGCUCAACCUCAGAAUUGCCUCCGAUACUGGCAGUCUCGAGUGCAGGAGAGGUGAGUGGAAUUCCCAGUGUAGAGGUGAAAUUCGUAGAUAUUGGGAAGAACACCAGUGGCGAAGGCGGCUCACUGGCCCGUAACUGACGCUGAGGUGCGAAAGCGUGGGGAGCAAACAGG